GAAUUCUACCUUGGCCUCAGUCAGUGCUCGGAACCUGUUGCUUUUAUUUAAGCCUCGGAUAGAUGGAUGCUAUUAUGAUUCCCACUCGAAGAGAUGGAAAUUGGAACCAAAGAGCUGGAAAAACUUAGCCAAAGUCACAUGAUAAUAAAGUGGCUAAGUGGGCUUUGAAUUCCAAAGCCCAUGACCUUGUGGACGACUUACCAACCUCUUGAGGGAUGAGCAUGGAUCUGAUCCAAGGCCCUGGAGAAGGAACCUGGUUUUGUUUCACAGCUCCCUGGGCCAGGUGGACAUCUGGAAACCCUGCCGGGAGCUUCAAGCACCAGACUGACAGACUGUGUCCCCAACAACAUCCACUUCUACCCCGCUAUCAGCUGACAUCCGUCAAAAAGCCUCCUCCUCCCCGUCACCCUGGAUGAGACACUGGAACCAGAGCUCUGUGCAAAUAGAACAUGAAUUCUGCUGACAGGGUAUUGAUGUGGAAAGCAGCUCUGGCAAGUGAGAUGGAAAAAGAAAUACCCUGGAAUGUCUGGGAAAUUUUAGUAUAAGAACCACUCCUUAUCACAUCCUUUUCUCCCGGCCUAGAACAUAAUCACGAUGGUCAUAGUUGUAGCUAUCCUGCAACCAAUGAGGCAAAACCUUCCGCACUAAGGAAAGAUCGGAAAGACCUGAGAUCCCAUAGAUAAAUUUACUCUGUAUCCAAACCCUGAUCUUCAUACUUCAUACUUCUGGACAUACAGGAACAAAAAUAAAUCUGAGCCCCUCUUAAGCUGGUAGUUACUGGGGGCUCACUGACAUCCUAAAGCCUUCGCUCCCGGCGCUCCUGACAUCCCGGCGCUCCUGACAUCCACAGAGAAGCAGCUAUUGGGUAUGCCUGCAAUUCAUACUUCCUCUCUGAAGUAUGCCUGAGACCAAACUCCCGAGUCCCGGAAUGUCUAUCACUCUACACUGGCUUGGCCGGGAGCUUGGCUAUCGCUGAUGAAAGGGACCCAACCAAACCAGGUUGUUGCCUGAGAAUUUAAAGUGGACCAAGAGACCCACGUGAAGAAACACAAACUGGCCUCUGCAGCCUGUUCUGACCUCCGUGCGCUGAGUGCGUAGCUUUUCAUAGAGAUCUGAAUUUCUGGCUUUGCUUAAAAUAGUGUGAGGCCUGGCACCACCGGGCAACACAGUCCACUUGGCAGUAAGCCGCGGUUGCUGAGCGGUGGCUUCCCCCGUGAGACAGACGUGGCUCUCACGUUCUCUCCAGCUCCCACCUAGUGCCAAUGUGUUUGUAUAAACGGCUCCCCGGCACUUGUCCCCGAUGCCUGCCUGACUCCUGCCGGUAUUGGAGCUGAUGAUGCCUGCUCUAAGUAGGCUCCAUAAGGCCUUUGAAUCAUGAUGAUGGUGAUGAUAAUGGUGUGUAUAAAGAUAAUAGCAGCUGUUAUCGAUGGUUACUAGGAGCCCGGCUGCUCCACACACAAGUGCCCUUACCAGUCCUCAAAACAAGAUCUCUCCCACUGGACAGAUAAGGAGACGGGAGUUCACUGAGGUGCAGUAACUUGACUCCAACCUCACAGUUAGAAAGCUUUCCGGGUGGGAUUUAGAUACAUUCAAGUGGAUGUCUCCUAAUUCACGGAGUGUACAGCCUCCGUGUGAAUAAAGGCAAAAGUUCAAAUGGAGCAGACAUGGCAAAUGGGGGAUUCAAAGGCAUUUAGCUCGGGCUAAAUGAGACCCUGUGUCAAAAUAUCAGGCCCUGUCCCCGAGGUACAGCUGGAAAAUAACAUGGCAGGUACACAGAGGAAGACUGAAGAAGGCACCAGAGAGGGGGGCAGGGGUAAGGCUUGCUACCUAUGGCCUUCAUCUGAGGUAGGAAGCCUCCUCCAGCUGGGACUCAUAAAUACAAGUAAUAAGGUGACUCGAAUCUAAGCAGAAUAGGGAACCAGAGAAAUCUGAACCUGCCAGGAGGCAAGGGAACUUGGAUCUGGACCCUGAUGGCAGAAACACAGGGCCAAUCUGACAAUAUUCUGGUGUCCCAUGUCCCAGGAUGCUAGAAUCCUCAUCAGGCCUUUCUAAGGGUUCCUCUGAGCCGAUCUCAAGGAACAGUCACUGCUCCUUCUGCCUGGGUUGUCCCUAGAGACAGGGACCACCUCCUCAAUAUCCCUGUGUCUUGGUGAUUUUGACUCCUAGUCCAGUUAGUGCCUCUGGUUGACAGAGCUUGGGUCAUAUAUCCAAACCCUAGCGUCAAGGGAGGCUAGCACAUACACAUUCUACAUGGGAGCAGGCUGUACUCCCCAACAAGACUCAUAUUGGGAGGAGCAUCUCCAGACAAGAGGAUGAGAUUCUGAACCUGUGUGUCGAGGAAGAACAAUAGUCCCUGAAAAUUCGCUGGUGCCUCUUUAAAGACGCUGGCGGGCCUGUGGUUGCUGCUAAGUCUCGUCAGAACAUAGAUGAUGCUGGAAAGGAGCAAUCAGGGCACACUGAGGUGCAAGAAAGAUUUAGGGGAUCCAUCGGUUCUGUGAAGCCAUCCAAGAGGUUGCAACAUUCUGAGGGAAGGAGGAAGACUCCAGGCCUGAAGGGCCAAGAAAAAAGGAUGUUUAUGGGACUGUGAAAGUAACUGACUAGGAAAAAGAGCCUCCUCCAGGGCGUGACUCCGGAGGAAAGUGAGCUGGGGAAAUAAACCUCAUUUCUCCAUUUCCCUCCUUCUUAGACCCCACAAGUCUUCCUCAGGGAAACAGAAAGUCAGAGAGCGGAACUGGAGAGACGGCUCAGCAGGUAAGAGCACUGACUGCUCUUCCAAAGGUUCUGAGUUCAAUUCCCAGCAACCACAUGGUGGUUCGCAACCAUCUGUAAUGAGAUCUGAUGCCCUUUUCUGAUGUGCCUAAAGACAGUGAUAGUGUACUCACAUACAUUAAAUAAGUAAAUAAAUCUUUAAAUCUUUAAAUAAAGAAAAAAAAAGUCAGAGAGCAAGAAUCCUAAUGACAUCUCCCGUAAAGGUAAGCCCUUGGGCAUGGUGCUACCUGGCUCAGAGUCUGAGAGCAGAUCUCAAGAGCUCAACAGAUGGGUAGGCUCUUAUCACUCCAACACUCUGGGCUGGAUUUUCCACAUUAUUCCUGGCCCAGGGAUGUGAGUUCUCUUGGUCACCCCACACCACUGUUCUAGAUCUGUGGCUGUGAUAAAACACUUCGAAUAAAAGCAGCUUAAAGAGGAAA